AGUUACUGGGUAGGGGCCACUAGACCAGAUGAGCCAGUCUAUCGAUCUGGGUGGUACCAGCUGAUCCAUCAGGUACAGGAGAUUUUUCAGCAAGGCUUUAAGGGACAAAGUGCCUUGGCCUUGGAGUGAUACAGCUGCAGAUCAAGGAAUGCCAAGGAACACCUGGAGCCACCUUUCUAGAAGAGGUGAGGAAGGAUCCUCCCCUGAGGCCUUCAGAGCAAGCAUGGCCCGAACAACACCUUGAAUGCAGACUCCAAGCCUUCUAAACUUGGGCAUUCAGUGACCACCUGUUGAGUGAGUCCAUGGCAUCCAAGUGCACAGCCACCUAAGGCAUUGGGCCUCAUGAAAUCACAAGCAGCCAAGGCUGGCAGGUAAAUCAGGGAUUUCUUCUUGGUUUGGAUCCACUGCUGGUUUUCUUCCACCAUCUGUGACAGCUUCUUUAUCUGUCCC
rnacentral:sRNA from 1 species